AAGUUACCGUCUCAAAAAAAAAAAAAAAAAAGGAAAUGGGGUCUCACUCUGUUGCUCAGGCUGGUCUUGAACUUCUGAAUUUAAGUGAUCGUCCCCCUUUGGCCUCCUAAAGUGCUGGGAUUACAGGCGUGGCCCACCACGCCUGGCUCUGCUGUUAGAUUUUGAACAACUGCUUUAAUGGGGUGGAGCGGUAGGUUCCUGGGGAGUGGAGGCCAGACCACACAAGGUGGGUAAAGGCAGCUGUAGGCCUUUGCAGACCUCAUGAAGUGUUUGCUUCUGGUCUAGCCUUGUGCUGGGUGCUGAGUGGGAAAGGAACAAGAGAGACAACUGUGGUUCUUUGCCUUCAAGACCACAAGACCUUGGGGACAAGAAGGUGGCUGGUUUUUCACUGUGGGGCCACUGCAUGGCCCUGGGGUUUCUGAGAUCCCACCUAGAACAGCUCCCACCCUGUAGCUGGGUGAGCAGAGGGUGGCUGUGUCCUGGGUCUCUGUCUGGGGUGGUGGGCGGGUGUCAAUGGGGACAUGGGAUAUCAGAUCCUAGGGCUCCCAUGCUGACCCCUGUGUCCUUGGCAGAUAUCCCGCCCAGGUACCCGUUCCAAGCCCUGCCACCGCACUACGGGAGGCCCUACCCUUUCCUGCUGCAGCCCACGGCGGCCGCCGACGCGGACGGCUUGGCCCCUGAUGUGCCGCUCCCGGCUGAUGGGCCCGAGCGCCUGGCACUCUCACCCGAAGACAAGCCCAUCCGCUUGUCCCCCUCCAAGAUUACAGAGCCGCUGCGGGAGGGCCCGGAGGAAGAACCGCUGGCUGAGCGGGAGGUGAAGGCAGAGGUGGAGGACAUGGAUGAGGGCCCCACAGAGCUGCCGCCUCUGGAGUCGCCGCUGCCACUGCCCGCCGCGGAAGCCAUGGCUACCCCCAGCCCUGCAGGGGGUUGUGGAGGUGGCCUGUUGGAGGCCCAGGCGCUGAGUGCCACCGGGCAGAGCUGCGCAGAGCCCUCUGAGUGUCCAGACUUUGUGGAGGGGCCUGAACCACGGGUGGAUUCCCCGGGCCGGACAGAACCCUGCACCGCCGCCCUGGACCUGGGGGUGCAGCUGACAACCGAGACGCUGGUGGAGGCCAAGGAGGAGCCGGUGGAGGUGCCUGUGGCGGUGCCCGUGGUGGAGGCAGUGCCCGAGGAAGGCCUGGCGCAGGUGGCACCGAGCGAGUCCCAGCCCACCCUAGAAAUGUCAGACUGUGACGUGCCCGCCGGGGAGGGACAGUGCCCGAGCCUGGAGCCCCAAGAGGCCGUGCCUGUACCCGGCAGCACCUGCUUCCUGGAAGAGGCAAGCUCUGACCAGUUCCUGCCCAGUCUGGAGGACCCACUGGCUGGCAUGAAUGCCCUGGCGGCAGCUGCGGAGCUGCCCCAGGCCAGGCCUCUGCCCUCCCCGGGUGCUGCUGGAGCCCAGGCCUUGGAGAAGCUGGAAGCAGCCGAGAGCCUUGUCUUGGAGCAGAGCUUCCUGCAUGGCAUCACCCUGCUAAGUGAGAUCGCAGAGCUGGAGCUGGAGAGGAGGAGCCAAGAGAUGGGAGGUGUGGAGCGGGCCCUGGUGGCGCGGCCCUCCCUGGAGAGUCUGCUGGCAGCUGGCAGCCACAUGCUGAGGGAGGUGCUGGAUGGGCCCGUGGUGGACCCACUCAAGAACCUGCGGCUCCCGCGGGAGCUGAAGCCCAACAAGAAGUACAGCUGGAUGCGGAAGAAGGAGGAGCGGAUGUACGCCAUGAAGUCCUCCCUGGAGGACAUGGAUGCCCUGGAGCUGGACUUCCGGAUGCGGUUGGCCGAGGUGCAGCGCCAGUACAAGGAGAAGCAGCGGGAGCUGGUGAAGCUGCAGCGCCGCCGGGACUCCGAGGACAGGCGCGAGGAACCCCAUAGAAGCUUGGCACGCAGAGGCCCUGGCAGGCCGCGGAAACGGACCCACGCCCCGAGCGCCCUGUCGCCCCCCCGCAAGAGAGGGAAGAGCGGCCACAGUAGCGGAAAGCUAAGCAGCAAGUCUCUACUGACAUCAGAUGAUUACGAGCUCGGAGCAGGGAUAAGAAAGAGACACAAGGGGUCUGAGGAGGAACACGAUGCCCUCAUCGGAAUGGGGAAAGCCAGGGGGAGGAACCAGACUUGGGAUGAACAUGAGGCCUCGUCCGACUUCAUCAGUCAGCUAAAGAUUAAGAAGAAGAAGAUGGCCAGCGACCAGGAGCAGUUGGCAAGCAAGCUCGACAAGGCCCUCUCCCUCACCAAGCAGGACAAGUUGAAGUCGCCCUUCAAGUUUUCGGACAGUGCUGGGGGGAAAUCGAAAACUAGCGGGGGCUGCGGCAGGUACUUGACUCCUUACGACAGCCUGCUGGGGAAGGACAGGAAGGCGCUGGCCAAGGGCCUCGGCCUGUCUCUGAAAUCCUCCAGAGAAGGUAAACACAAAAGGGCAGCCAAAACCAGGAAGAUGGAGGUGGGGUUCAAGGCCAGAGGCCAGCCCAAGUCGGCCCAUUCCCCGUUUGCCUCGGAAGUGAGCAGCUACUCUUACAAUACGGACUCAGAGGAAGACGAAGAAUUCCUGAAGGACGAGUGGCCCGCCCAAGGCCCCUCCAGCUCCAAACUGACGCCUUCCCUCCUGUGUAGCAUGGUGGCAAAGAACAGCAAGGCAGCUGGUGGCCCCAAGCUGACCAAGAGGGGCCUGGCGGCCCCCCGGACUCUGAAACCCAAGCCGGCCACCAGCAGGAAGCAGCCGUUUUGUUUGCUGCUUCGAGAGGCGGAGGCGCGUUCCUCCUUCAGCGACUCUUCGGAGGAAUCGUUUGACCAAGAUGAGAGCUCGGAGGAGGAGGACGAGGAGGAGGAGCUUGAGGAGGAGGACGAGGCCAGCGGUGGCGGCUACAGGCUGGGUACCCGGGAGCGGGCCCUGUCGCCGGGCCUGGAGGAGAGUGGGCUGGGCCUGCUGGCACGCUUUGCCGCCAGCGCCCUCCCCAGCCCCACGGUGGGUCCAUCCCUGUCUGUGGUACAGCUGGAGGCCAAGCAGAAGGCCCGGAAGAAAGAGGAGCGGCAGAGCCUGCUGGGCACAGAGUUCGAGUACACCGACUCAGAGAGCGAGGUCAAGGUGCGCAAGCGGUCGCCUGCGGGGCUGCUGCGGCCCAAGAAGGGGCUGGGGGAGCCGGGACCCUCCCUGGCCGCACCCACGCCUGGCGCCCGCGGUCCCGGCCCCAGCAGCCCAGACAAGGCCAAGCUGGCGGUGGAGAAGGGGCGCAAGGCCCGGAAGCUGCGGGGCCCAAGGAGCCUGGCUUCGAGGCGGGGCCCGAGGCCAGC
ensembl:lincRNA